rnacentral:rRNA from 1 species
UACGAAGGGGGCGAGCGUUUGUUCGGAAUUACUGGGCGUAAAGGGCGCGCAGGCGGCCCUUGAAGUCAGGCGUGAAAGCCCCGGGCUCAACCUGGGAGGUGCGCUUGAUACUCGAGGGCUUGAGUGCGGGAGAGGAGAGUGGAAUUCCCAGUGUAGAGGUGAAAUUCGUAGAUAUUGGGAAGAACACCGGUGGCGAAGGCGGCUCUCUGGACCGUAACUGACGCUGAGGCGCGAAAAGCGUGGGGAGCAAACAGG